ACCAGCCCCCCCCCCCUUCUUUUUAAAUUCGUUCAAGUUUACGAAUAAUAUAAAGGAUAUCCUCUGCUGAUAUGUGUAGUUUUGUAAGCCUUUUAACAAGGCAUGACGGUUCUUAUGUCAUCAUUUUGUUUGCCUGCACCCAGUGAUUAGGAUACUCAAGUUUUAUUCGGGAAAAUGGGGAAUCGUAUUUCAGUUCAACUAGCACAUGAACUAGCAGAACUGCAGAAAAAAUUAGAAAAUUGCUCAAGCGCUUGACAGUUUCCACGCUAGAUGUCACACUAUUUGUUUUGUUUUUGUUUCAGUUGCCGUGGCUUGUCGACAUUUUCCUACCUCGCUUCUAUCGCAAAAGUUGGCUUUGUUUCUUGAAAUAAAAUCCUGUACACCUUUCUGCAUCUUUGAUCAAAUCCAGAGAUCAUGUUUAUGGCAUGUCUGUUUCUCUGUGCGCAUUCCGUCUCGAACAAGGAGGUGAUUCAAUCGUCCCUAAGGAUCUUGCCUACUUGGCUCCUCAGUACUUAGCCUGGAAGCCAGCUCAAAAGAAAAGUCAGAGGAGAGGCUGCCUGAAGCAGAAACUUGGGAAAGAGAAAGGGCGAGUAAGGGUAGAGGCAAAAGAGAAUUACAAACCAUUGAAAUGGUGACUUAUGAAAAUGACAACAUGGGGACUGGACCCUGGGAAAUAUCUAAAGGCAAAAAUAAAAAAUCUCUUGAGACUCGUAAAGUUAGAACAUUGUGCAACAAGAGCUCAUUUGACCAAGAAAUUCCAAGUACAAGCAAGGAACCUUCUCUGGCACUGUCUUCUGCCACUGGUGAUGGGGAGAUGUCCGUCUCUGAAAGCUCUUAUUCUGACUUGGCAGACCGUAAGAAAGUUGUCAGCAAUAGGGACCAACUGAGCUUCUUCUCUGGCAACCCAUUUGUAGAGAAGUCACAUGACAUCUUUGGAAAUGGAUGUGCCUCGUAGCCAAAUGAUUUGCAUGCUGGCCAUUCCUGUUUGGCUCAGCUGUCAUGAUCUACUCAAUUUUCUAGCUCCAUGUUGUCCUGGCAUCAGAAGGGUACGAAUCAUUCGAGAUAAGACUCCGAACCAGUACAUGGCCUUAGUUCUUUUCCGUCGUCAGUAUUUUCUCAGGGUCAUGCUGAAUGCUCCGCAACGGACGAAUUCGGAGAUAUUUUUUCCGAUGCCGUUGGCGUACCUGGCGUGGAGAAGUAUCUGCGGACAUUAGGCCAGCUGGAGAAGCCAUCGAGCGAAAAUGAGUGUCCGGAGUCUGUGGACGGAUUGGUGAUCUUUCCGGAGAAUCCAGACGAGCCGGAGGAGAAUCCGGAGUUGGAGAGACCGGUGGGGGAGUCUCAUUUCGCGGAGGCAGAUUUUCAAAAAUUUCACGGCGGUUAUGCCGUGCUGCUGCCCGAUUCCUUCUUUCCAUUGCUCUGCGUUGGCGUUCAGUGAGGCGCACACCUGCACGGAAUCGUUGUCGACCGUGACCGAAAGGAACAUCUGCAAUAUCCUCAUUAGAGACAUCACCUUGUCUAUCUUCGGGAGCUUCCUCUUCGUUGAGCUCGUCUUCCGCAGCUUCGUCCUCAGCAGAAAUUAUAGAAAAUCAAGCCAACCCCGGGGACGUCGUCGUCUUCAUCGGAACGGACAGUUCCGUGAAAGAAAAGGGUGAUACGCCAUGGAUUCCAUCAUGUCGUCGAUCGAUGUAGGUGGGAGUGGCUGGUUGCUUCUCUUCUCCCGCUGGAUUCUUCGCUCUAGCGCAGGAUUCAAAGCAAUUCUUGCUUCACGAUGAACAGAGCGAGCUAUCUCGACAAUCCUCUUUGGCCCUUGCCGUCCCAUUCCAGGAGCCCGAGCCAAGUCUAAACACUCAUUUACUGCCGCUGCCCGAUGCUGUUCCUCAAACUGGGCAUCAUGAUUAUGCGCACCAUUUUGGGUAAAAACUCCAUCACGCAUUGUAAUUUUGCAGUGGCAGCCAAUCUUUCGGUUAAUACACUCAAGGCGUAGUAUAUCUCCUCUAAAGGGAAUUCUUCCGUGUACCAGGAACAACAGUCACUCUAAUAUGUUGGCGUACUUCUUCGACCGCUUCCGCCAUCGCCACUAAAAACUUAAAAACCAGCACUAAAGAACUGUUCAUAGACAACCAUACAGCACGAAA